ensembl:snRNA U6 U6 spliceosomal RNA
UUGCUUUGGCAGCAUAUAUACUAAUAUUGGAACAAUACAGAGAAGAUUAGCAUGGCCCCUACACAAGGAUGACACACAAAUUCAUGAAGUGUUCCAUAUUUUU